rnacentral:rRNA from 1 species
CCUACGGGGUGCAGCAGUGGGGAAUAUUGGACAAUGGGCGCAAGCCUGGUGCAGCCAUGCCGCGUGUAUGAAGAAGGCCUUCGGGUUGUAAAGUACUUUCAGCGGGGAGGAAGGCGGUAAGGUUAAUAACCUUGUCGAUUGACGUUACCCGCAGAAGAAGCACCGGCUAACUCCGUGCCAGCAGCCGCGGUAAUACGGAGGGUGCAAGCGUUAAUCGGAAUUACUGGGCGUAAAGCGCACGCAGGCGGUCUGUCAAGUCGGAUGUGAAAUCCCCGGGCUCAACCUGGGAACUGCAUUCGAAACUGGCAGGCUAGAGUCUUGUAGAGGGGGGUAGAAUUCCAGGUGUAGCGGUGAAAUGCGUAGAGAUCUGGAGGAAUACCGGUGGCGAAGGCGGCCCCCUGGACAAAGACUGACGCUCAGGUGCGAAAGCGUGGGGAGCAAACAGGAUUAGAUACCCGC